rnacentral:tRNA from 1 species
AAGGGAGACCUAAUUCAGGUAUGGGACGAAAAAAAAGUAGCCCCUACCAAGAAUCAAUCCCAAAAGGUCGGAGCGAGGCAAAAUUGGCUUUCAAACUAGGUUCUGGGUUCACACAAGACCUGAAUCAGGAACAAGGGCUAUUAGCUCAGGUGGUUAGAGCGCACCCCUGAUAAGGGUGAGGUCCCUGGUUCGAGUCCAGGAUGGCCCACCUGUACAGGUGGCAAAAAGAAAGAAAAGAAGCGAGGAAUCAGCACCUGAUCUUACUUAUAUAGUAAGAGAGAAUGCUGGCUCUGAGUUCAGAGUCCAGAGGAACCUUGAAAACUGCAUAGAGCUAGGUGAAAAAGCCAAAAAAGAAGACCGCAAGGUCAAGCUAAUAAGGGCUAACGGUGGAUACCUAGGCAC